rnacentral:rRNA from 1 species
GACGAACGCUGGCGGCGUGCCUAAUACAUGCAAGUUGAGCGAUGAAGCUUGGUGCUUGCCCCAAUUUGAAGAGCAGCGAACGGGUGAGUAACGCGUGGGGAAUCUGCCUUUGAGCGGGGGACAACAUUUGGAAACGAAUGCUAAUACCGCAUAACAACUUUAAACAUAAGUUUUAAGUUUGAAAGAUGCAAUUGCAUCACUCAAAGAUGAUCCCGCGUUGUAUUAGCUAGUUGGUGAGGUAAAGGCUCACCAAGGCGAUGAUACAUAGCCGACCUGAGAGGGUGAUCGGCCACAUUGGGACUGAGACACGGCCCAAACUCCUACGGGAGGCAGCAGUAGGGAAUCUUCGGCAAUGGACGAAAGUCUGACCGAGCAACGCCGCGGGAGUGAAGAAGGGUGUCGGAUCGUAAAACUCUGUUGGUAGAGAAGAACGUUGGUGAGAGUGGAAAGCUCAUCAAGUGACGGUAACUACCCAGAAAGGGACGGCUAACUACGUG